rnacentral:lncRNA from 1 species
CAAGAGGGAGGCGAUAUGGGGAUAUAUGUAUAUGUAUAGCUGAUUCACUUUGUUGUAAAGCAGAAACUAACACACGAUUGUAAGGCAAUUAUACUCCAAUAAAGAUGUUAAACAAAACAAAACAAAACACAACCCUGUGGUAGUGUUUGGGAAACAAUUGUUUGGAUAAAAUAGGUCAAGCACUCAGAUUCUUUUCCUCUUCUUACGUUUGCCUUGUAGUCCCUCUUACCUGUCCAUGGCACUGCGCUUGCCACGCGCAUCUAUUAGAAAUCGGUGAAGGCUGUCUCUGUCGUAGCAGGUUGAGUAUGUGGCUGUGGCUACACACAUGGGCCUGAGAACAAUGGCAGACACUGUCAGCAGCAACUUGGGGGGCACGGUCACCUCCAGCCACAAAACACACAACCGAGCCUAUGCUCCCCUAGGGUUAGAGAAACCAUUUGUGACAUCAGUUAAUUUGAUUUGGCUUUUAAGUCUUGAUACUGUAUUUUGUGGAGUAAGAAUCACAAACAUUCACAGGCCCAAAACCUGGAUGCUCUAAUAGUUUCCAAGGCUAUUAGGGAUCAUGCCUGCAGUGAUUUUUGAGGAGCCAGUUAGAAUUGUGAUGUUAACAUGAUGGCUGGGCAUCAAAAAUAACAGUGACAGAAAGAAUACUGAAUGAGAGAAGCCCCAGGUUCUGGUCCCAGUGCCACCACUGGCUUAACUGUGGAGCCUUAGGCAAGUAACAUCAUCCUUGUGGCCUCCAGUUACUUCAUCUGCAGAGCUAUCGCUUUGAAGUAGAUGAACUCUAAGGAUCCUUCUAUCUCUUAAUCUUCUAGGAAUUUGUGAUGGACAUAGUCACUAAUAAUAAUUGAUUUAAAGUGUGACCUUUAGAUUUUAUUUUAGUACAUACUAGGUCUCCGAAAACGUAUAAUGAGGUCAAUCGCUGAAAGUUUAACAAUAGACUUAGGUGUGUUCAAUGUGUGUGUAUGUGAGGUGGAAAAGGCUCCUUCUCAAGGAGUCAAACAUACAUUCUUCCUUAUCUGAGUCUCCAGCAGUGUAUUUCCGAACCUUCAUACUUAUUUGUUCAUUCUUUUCUUUCACAGUUGAUCACAUAAUGAGUAUCUGGUUGAAGCCAGACACUUGCCACUUCAAACAGCCUAGUCAUUUACAUCUUUGGCUCAAUACUUAUAUUUUACCAAUAAGUAAACAAAAAACAAGCACUAAUGUCAGACAAGGGUGAUGAAAAUGCCAAAACUAAACCAUUGCUUGCAGGCAGCAUCAACAGAAAAAAACCUUUUAAAUGUUGGCUUGUCAGCUGAUACAUGAAUAUCCAGAUUCUACGUAGAAACAGCGUUGUAUAAUUCUAUGUAUAAUGAACAAAAAUGUGGAUUUAAUAGUUAAGGAUGGUCUAUUCUAUAAUACCAUAGGGCUUAAUUUGUGAGUUAAAAGGUGAUUUGAGGGUAUUAAUUUUCACUUGAGUAACCAGUUUCCAAUGAGGGAAAAAUCAGAUUCUGCUUUCCCAAGGUUUCCAAACAUUACCUCAAAAUAGUAACCCAAGUAAGAGUGUAUUCUAAAACUUCGAAAUGUUUUUUUCCAUCAUUAGUUCCCAUUCUCAUUUCAAGUUUUGAAGAAGGUGGAGAAAAAUAGUUACUUUCCAUCUGGCUGUCCGCUUGCCUGCGUAAGUUGUGCUGUCGUGGGUUUGUGGGGUUUUUUUGACAGGGGGGUUGGCGGGGGGAUUAGGAGGGUCUGACAAGAACUUAAUUGUGUGAGUGAUCCAUUCCAGAUCUAGACAUAGCUCUCCUACCCUCUGACCCAGCCCAGAGACUCUUAACUCUCACAGAACGGCAAAGGAACGGUUUGACCUUUUGUCCCUCCCAAACAGAAUCUGCUAGAAGCACCCCUCUACAGUGUUAUACAUUCAUAUUCUCUAUAAAUUGAAUCUAGACAUUUCACGCGGGACUGAACAGGCAUUGAAGAUGCAACUGGGGUGAGAUGGAUUAACUCUACCCUUCUUUAAAUCUCUUCAGGUUUUUGCAUCAGGAAACUGUCGGGUCAGAUUCCUGCCAGAAAAUGUGCUGGAUGUUUCGUGUCUUGGAAGGGGUAUUAGACGUAGAGGGAGAAGACUCUGGUUUAUGUCUGACGCUCUACUUACCAGCUGUGGAAGCUUGAGCAAGUUACUUUAUCUCUGAGUUUGUAUACUUAUCUGCAAAAUGAGGAUAAUAUUUAACUUACAGAGUGUUGUGAGAAACGGCGAAGACUAUGUGAAAGGUUUUCAUAAGUUGACAACACUACACAAAUGUAAGGUCUCCUAGGGAAUCCUUUUCAAAAACUCAAAAAAUCUGUAUGAAGUAAGAUAUUUAUUACAUGUUGAAUGAAAUAUUUUAUCGCCAUAAAAAUUAUAAGAGGAAAUGUGUUGAAAAAAUUUUAAGUUGUACUUUGCAGUUACAAUAGUGUAAAAGCUGUGCACAUGGACUAGAAGCAUAUGGGAAAAAAUGGAAUCAGCUGUUUCAGGACAGUGGAAUUGAGCGACUUUUCUUUAAAAAUCUCUUUGGCCUAUUCAAUUCAGUUCAGUAGACGCACUGUGCCAGGUUCAGUGCUCAAUUCUGUGAACACAGAGAAAAGUAGGAUAUGCUCCCACGUCUCAGGGACUCCCAUUUUGUAUAAUCUUUGUUAAAGUUUAUUAUGUAUAAGAAUCACCUGGGGAGCUUAUUAAAAGUUCAGAUUAUCCUGAUACCACCCUAGAAAGUCUAUUCCACCCUAACAGGUCUAGGAUGGAACAGCACACAGUUAGCAUUCUUUAAACAGUCACCCUGAGUGAUUCUAAUAUAGGUGGUUUAAUUUCACACUGUGAGAAACCUUCAGUGAGGUUUUAAUGUUUUUACUGUAAAAAGUAAUAAUUUCACAGAUCUGCUCAUUGAAGAAUUUGAUUGUUCUGUCUGGACCUUUUUUUUAAUAUAUAUAUAUUUUUUUAAUUUUAUUUUUUUGGCUGCAUUGGGUCUUCUUUGCAGCGCGAUGGCUUUCUCUAAUUGCAGUGAGGAGGGACUGCUCUUCGUUGCGGUGUGCGGGCUUCUCAUUGCGGUGGCUUCUCUUGUUGUGGAGCCCGGGCUCUAGGUGCGCGGGCUUCAGUAGUUGUGGCAUGUGGGCCCUAGAGCACGCGGGCUUCAGUAGUUGUGGCAUGUGGGCCCUAGAGCACGCGGGCUUCAGUAGUUGCGGCACAUGGGCUCUCAGGUGCAUGGGCUUCAGUAGUUGUGGCACACAGGCUUAGUAGCUGUGGCGCAUGGGCUUAGUCGCUCUGCGGCAUGUGGGCUCUUCCCGGACCAGGAACCCAUGUCCCCUGCAUUGGCAGGCGGAUUCUUAACCACGGUGCCACCAGGGAAGUCCCCUGUGUGGACCUUUGAGCUGGCUUCUGUGCCUCUAUAUCAAGGAUGGGAAAGCCAGCCUGCAGAGUGGUGUUGCUCUGGAACUCAUGUGGCAUAGAUCCUGCCACAUCUCUCGACCUGUAUCUCUGCCUCACUUCCUUUCUCUUCCACUACCUCUCCCAUGUUUUUUCUCUGUGCAUGUUUUUCUCUCCCACUCUGAUUCCUCCUAUGCCUGCAAUACAGCAACAUCCAGGUGCUUCCCCUUCCUUUUUCCACCCCUUCCCCCAACCAGAUAUGUCAACUUUAUUGAAAAGAAACCCAACCUACUUCUAGUUUACUAACUUGUGCAGGAAGGCUCUUGUAUCUAGUUAAUGUUUCUCAGAAAACUUAGGAGUGGGCUAUUCAUGGAUCAACAACCACAAAGAUACCAUAUGUGGACCUUUUGUGUCUUUAUUUUGACUGUCAUUUCACUCUUGAUUAACUUUUUUCUAGUGGGUUAGCAGCCUUCAACAGAGUCCUGUCCUGCUCAUCAGGCUGGAGUGUGCCCUGCAUCCUGACAGAGCACUGCUUGUCUCCACAUGCCUAUGAACGGACUUGGGUGGCUUUCUCAGGCUACACACCUGUCACCUCUUAGUCACCUAGAAUCAAAAUAUUAACAGCUCUAAUCACACUGUCUGAGGCCAUGAGGCUUUAUUUCAAGAAUGGUGACACUCCAAAAUGCAGCUAGGAUUUCUACAUUUUCAUGUGUUUAUAUUACUAGUGUUAGUGUUUAUAUGACUUGCACCUCUAGAUACCAAGGGUUGGUCAAUGGCUUCCAGACUCCCUCCCUCCAUUAUGCUCACCCAGAACCAUAUUAAAAUACUGGUCCUCUU